CAUCACCAGGGCUCAAUGUAAAGUCACUCCCAUCACCAGGGCUCAAUAUAAAGUCACUAGCGUACCUGAUAACUCUGCCACCAGACUCCCAUCACCAGGGCUCAAUGUAAAGUCACUAGCGUACCUGAUAACUCUGCCACCAGACUCCCAUCACCAGGGCUCAAUGUAAAGUCACUAGCGUACCUGAUAACUCUGCCACCAGACUCCCAUCACCAGGGCUCAAUGUAAAGUCACUCCCAUCACCAGGGCUCAAUGUAAAGUCACUAGCGUACCUGAUAACUCUGCCACCAGACUCCCAUCACCAGGGCUCAAUGUAAAGUCACUCCCAUCACCAGGGCUCAAUGUAAAGUCACUAGCGUACCUGAUAACUCUGCCACCAGACUCCCAUCACCAGGGCUCAAUGUAAAGUCACUAGUGUACCUCAUAACUCUGCCACCAGACUCCCAUCACCAGGGCUCAAUGUAAAGUCACUAGUGUACCUCAUAACCUUAAUUACAGUCCAGCACCAUUUAUCAAUGUCAAUGCGAAUUAUAAAUAUGAUCAAUAUUUUAUCCAACUUCGUAAUAUUAUUGAUUAUUGAUCGCCAUGUUAGGGGCUACAGCUAAUUGCACAUUAAAACUGUACUGUAUAAGAGUACUAUAGCAGUACUGACUUUAACUGUACUGUAUGAGAGUACUAUAGCAGAACUGACUUAAACUGUACUGUAUAAGAGUACUAUAGCAGUACUGACUUAAACUGCACUGUACAAGAGUACUACAGCAGUACUGACUUAAACUGUACUGUAUAAGAGUACUAUAGCAGUACUGACUUAAACUGUACUGUAUAAGAGUACUAUAGCAGUACUGACUUAAACUGUACUGUAUAAGAGUACUAUAGCAGUACUGACUUAAACUGUACUGUAUAAGAGUACUAUAGCAGUACUGACUUAAACUGUACUGUAUAAGAGUACUACAGCAGUACUGACUAAAUAUGAGUACUAGUCUAGUACUAUGGUGAUGCAUUUCCACUGAGUCUUAACCCCACACCAGUGGUUAGCCAGUGUUUUAUGUUAUAUAUUCCCUACACAGUCCCUAUUCCCUAUACAGUCCCUAUUCCCUACACAUCCCUAUUCCCUACACAGUCCCUAUUCCCUACACAGUCCCUAUUCCCUACACAGUCCCUAUUCCCUACACAGUCCACUCCUUCUGACUAUACAGGGAAUAUAUCAGGAUGUGAUCUGGACUGUAACCCAUGUCUAUGGCCCUGCUCAGUCCCUAGGGAAUAUAUCAGGAUGCCAUUUGGACUGUAACCCAUGUCUAUGGCCCUGCUCAGUCCCUAGGGAAUAUAUCAGGAUGUGAUCUGGACUGUAACCCAUGUCUAUGGCCCUGCUCAGUCCCUAGGGAAUAUAUCAGGAUGUGAUCUGGACUGUAACCCAUGUCUAUGGCCCUGCUCAGUGUAUAGAAACCUCUGUAAUAGUAAAACUAUUACAUACAUCCAGGUUGUUAUCGAGUCUCUCUCUCUCGUUAUGGUUAUUAAUAUUGUAUGGUUUGGUUAAUGAAUGCAUCAACAGGGAGUUAUGAAAAAGGACACGUAGUUUCUAACAUGAAAUGAAAUAAUGCUAUAACUAAAAUAGGUUUGGGUAAAUUGUUUGUGAUUUCAUCCUGUGAGCUAUAGUCCGGCUUGCCGGACAUACAGAGGCUGUGUGGAGAGACUAGGCAUCCCAUUCCCUAUGUAGUGCACUACUUCUGUGGGCCCUUGCCAAAGAGAAUGCACUAUGUAGGGGAUUGCACGCCAUUUGGGGCACAGCAAACGUGUGAGAAAAUACAGUGCCUGACAAUAGUAUUUCAUCCCCCUUGGCGUUUUUCCUAUUUUGUUGCUUUACAACCUGUAAUUUAAAUGGAUUUUUAUUUGGAUUUCAUGUAAUGGACAAACAAAGAAAAUAGUCCAAAUUGGUAAAGUGAAAUAAAAUAAAAAACUUGUUUCAAAAAUAUCUAAAUAACGGAAAAGUGGUGUGUGUGCAUAUGUAUUCUUUACUAUGAAGCCCCUAAAUAAGAUCUGGUGCAACCAAUUACCUUCAGUCACAUAAUUAGUUAAAUAAAGUCCACCUGUGUGCAAUCUAAGUGUCACAUGAUCUG
ensembl:lncRNA